UGACUAUUAACAGAAACGUAAGAAGAUAACUGUAGAGGUUCUAGGUCGCUGUUGACGAUGGAAUACGACACUCUGCCGUUUUCCUCUAGGUCUAAGUCAGUGGCUGAGACACACGCUAUAGAUACUCCGGAGGGGUUAUUUUCGGGGACGUAAACUACAUAAGAAGGUUGGAGGAAAACUGGGGGAUUGUCAUUGACGUCUGUAAUUUGCAAGGUCCUCCCUAUCUAUUCUGUCUGCCGUGACUAAGCUGCCGCUUCUGACAUUCAGGGCGAAAUGCUGCAUCUUACCUCUCGAAAUUAUGCGGGCUCCACCCUCUGACAGUGCCCGAGGGUCCAACCCCAGGUCCUUCGAGAUGUCGCCCACGAAAAAUCCCUUCUCCAUUUCCUCGGGUAUCGAGUAGCGGAUCUGUCCGGAACCGACGUCCCACAACGUUCCCAGAAGAAAGCAAAACAGGACUCCCCCACUGCAGUUCUGCCGUAUCCUCCGAAUCGCCAUUACUUUCUCGCUAAGAAAUUUUCUCUUCAGCCUCUGUACGAAUGAACUCUUGUAUUUCCUGAGUCUCAAAGAAUAACAUUAACCAGAAUCCUAAAACCAAACAGCUUGUUUUCUUGGUUUCUGUACAGCUUCUGAAGGUGCAAGCUUCUGGGGCUUUAUGUAGUUUGAACUGCAGAGGGCUGGGCGGGGGAUCUGGCUGCUUUUCUCAUUUUUCUCCCUGGCUGGUCAACAGCGGCGCCCAGAGUCCUAACUAAUUAUUACACAACCUCUAAGUAAAAGUUGCACAAUUUUUACAAAAGGUUUUUAUUCCUGAUAUUUCUCCUUUCUUGGAAACAAAUCAUAUCUUGAAACUUCAUUUCUGUUAUUUUACGAAAGACUUGUUGACAGUGUCUACAAACAUAACACAUAAAUGUGUGUGACUCUAUACAUAUAUGGAUAUAUGUGUAUCUCUCUGUCUGUCUCUUUGUCUGUCUGUCUGUCUCUGUAACUAGAUGAGUGAUGUUAAUGUCACGUUUCCAUUUUUUAUUAAGCUGUCUUACUCCACCACUUUUCCACUCCACCACACACAAUAAUAUUCUUGCAAAAGAGAUUUCUAGGAGGUGAAGCUCAAGAUCAUUAUACUUCAUGAACUAGAGAAUGAAUGACUUAAAAUGAGUUUUUUAUUACUACCAAAU
rnacentral:lncRNA from 1 species